CAGCUCUCAGGGUUGCACCUGGAGAGUUUCCAGUACUCUACCAGUCUUGACUAUGGGAGGGAGAGUCAAGCAGAGCUAUAUCUAUUCCAAUCCUAGCUUGGGCAGUGGAUAGUGAGUGGAAGGCAAUCUGCUACAAGG